rnacentral:misc_RNA from 1 species
GAUGAAGAACGUAGCGAAAUGCGAUAAGUAAUGUGAAUUGCAGAAUUCAGUGAAUCAUCGAAUCUUUGAACGCACAUUGCGCCCGCUAGUAUUCUGGCGGGCAUGCCUGUCCGAGCGUCAUUUCAACCCUCAAGCCCCCGGGCUUGGUGUUGGGGAUCGGCGAGCCUCCGCGCCCGCCGUCCCCUAAAUCUAGUGGCGGUCUCGCUGUAGCUUCCUCUGCGUAGUAGCACACCUCGCACUGGGAAACAGCGCGGCCACGCCGUUAAACCCCCAACUUCUGAACGUUUGACCUCGGACCAGGUAGGAAUACCCGCUGAACUUAAGCAUAUCAAUAAGCGGAGGA